GUGUACACUUAAAGCGUUCUGGGAAUAUGAAUCCCUUCUGCACCCUGGAAUCACCAGUCCAGCCAUGCAUGGAGCUGGGGAAAGCAGGCCCUGAAUUGUCUAGAGAGACUUGGUGGAGGAGGCCACGGCCCGCCUUGUCCCUGCCGGGUCCCGGCCAGGAACAACUGGAUGUUGUAAAUGUUUCUCAUCUGGCCUUAAAAUCCAUGAAAGCUGGAAAAUCACAAGGCAUCUGUGCAUAUACUGGUGGAUUUUAAUGAGAGUCCUGUGUUUGGAGCACCAGAAAUAAACCAGCUUCAGAAGCAAAGUUAACAGGAGGAGGAAGCAGAGCUAGAGAUGGAAGGAGACCCAGCCAGCCCGGGCUCCAGUGACAUCGGCUGGUACACGCUUUUGUUUGCUUACGCUUGUUGAACUGAGUUUUUCAUAUGUAACUAACGAAUACUGGCACAUGUGAGACUGGGCAUGAUUCAGAAAAGUUGGAAGAUCUAGAGAGGGAUCUUGCAAUCUGAAGUUUCUUGUUUAGUCACUGGAGGUAAGCCCGAGAAUUUGCAUUUCUGACAAGAUCCCAGGUGAGGCUCACUCGUGCUGCUGGCUUUGGGAUCACACUUAACUACCGGAUCUGAACGUCUAUGACACUCUUUCGAGCUGACACAGUGAAGAACAUAGAAGGAGAACUCACCCAGUCUGCCAGGGUCACAGAAUGAUCAUACUCAAGAUCUUCCUGGGGAGUCAAUGGCAAAUUUCACUGGGCUAUUUUACAGAUGAAGAAGGAACAUAAAGAAGGUUCUGGGACCCC
rnacentral:lncRNA from 10 species